rnacentral:rRNA from 1 species
CGUAGGGGGCGAGCGUUGUCCGGAUUUAUUGGGCGUAAAGAGCUCGUAGGCGGUUCGGCAAGUCAGAUGUAAAAACUCCAGGCUCAACUUGGAGAGGCCAUCUGAUACUGCCGUGACUAGAGUCCGGUAGAGGAGCACGGAAUUCCUGGUGUAGCGGUGAAAUGCGCAGAUAUCAGGAGGAACACCAGCGGCGAAGGCGGUGCUCUGGGCCGGAACUGACGCUGAGGAGCGAAAGCGUGGGAGCGAACAGGAUU